UCUUGUGAUAGGAAAUGGAGAAGGUCCUAUGCACCCAUUAAUGUUUCCGUUUUGCUAAUAAACCAAAAUCAGGAAAAUGAACUAUAGAUUUGUUUUGUGCAUUGCUGUUAACUGUCCAGGUAAAGUAACUUCUAUUUGAACUGUUCCGGUUCAGUUUGUUUAUGGCUUUUGAUGGUCCCCAUUCACUAGUAGAUGAAAAUGUGGAACUUCAUCAAGAUCCAGGUACUGCUAGUAAUCUAAGAUCAGAAAUUCAUAACAAAUUAUUGUCCUAGCUGUGUUAGAUCUUUCCAAUGCUCAGUUCUUUUUUUUAUGUGCUGAAAUAAUCCGUUGAUCUCAUGGAUUUUUCUUUCAAGUACUUGGUAGAGCUUACAUCAUGGUAUUUAAAGCAUAUGUAGGAAAUUUACUGGUUCCAAAUGCAUUUCAUUUCAAUACCUCAAAUCUUAAGUUUUAUUUUUAGUUUUUGGUGAAAGUAAAGCCAAUGUCACCAUAGGUUUUUGAAGUCUAUGGCAGAAACCCCCCAUUAUUCUUACCUGACCAGGCUUUGCUUUUUUUUACCUGAUCAUUGACCAUGACUAUGCUUUAUACUGCUUAGUGCUUACUCAUUUUGACAGCCUGAGAUGCUGGAAUCUCCCGAGGAUACCUUCAAAUUUAACAUAUCAAAUCUCUUAUAGUUGUUCAGUUUUGUUGAAAGCAAAGAGGUUAUUCUAUGUUCGAGGUCUAUGGCAGAAAGCCCUGGUGAAACCAGGACCUGAUUAGACCUGGUGCGUGACUGACCAUGCCUUUUGUUCAAUCAAUUUCACAGUUAGAUGCUGAGAAUGUCUCUAGGACACCAAAGCAGCUUGGUGCCAAUUUCUUUACUAUACUAAAUCGAAUCACCAGGUUGAAUUCAGGUCUGUACCUUUCUUCCCUAUUAUUUAAUGCUACUCUAUUUGUGCAUAGUGGGUUUUAGUUCCAUUCACAAUAAUUUUUUUUAAGGGUGUGUUUGGCCUGGGUGGAUUAAUAUCCAAAUCCGUUUGGAUUGAUAAUCCGAAUUUGAAGUAAACUCUAAAAGUUCCUACAUGUUAAAUGUGGUUGACUUGUAAGUUGUAAAUUUUUGGUUUCCCCUGUUGGGAAUGGGACCGCUGUUUUGGAGUUGUGAGUUGUGACAACUGAUGUCUUGCAAAAGUCCUGGCAAUACCUUGUUCUGGUCUUCUUCUUGGUUUAUCAACACAUGAAGACAAAGUCCACGAGAGCAAUUUUUAAAUAUUGAUACUGUCGGAUUUAGUGACCAGCAGUCCACCAGGGGGUUACCCAAGUGGUAGAUUUGUAGGCGGGGGAGAUCGUGAGACCAAGAACUCGAAUGGUAACACAGAGGCGCAAGGUUUAGAUAGGUUCGGGCCUUCGGAGAGUAAUACCCCAUGUCCUGUGUUCUUGUGGAUUGUAUUGCUGAUCGCAGGUGCGAAGAGUUAAUGUGCCCUCAGGGGGCGCCCCUGGUUGCCUUACAUAGGCUGACAACCUAGGGUUGCAAUUGGAUAGGAUCUAAUCCUAGUCGGUUGUUACAAGAAAGUCAAUCUAAGUCGGUUUACAACAAGUAUCCCGUGAUAUUCGGGCUGAAUCGGUUGGCCCGACCUCCAAGCUUGUGCCUCACGGAACUUCACACCUUGCCCCGCACGCCAUGGUCGGGCGGGGCCCACUUGUCAGGUCAGCCAGUAUCCUGGUCGGUGGGGACCUGUGGGUACCCUUAUCCCUCAUAUACUAUUCCAUUUCUCUGCAGAAGGAAGUGAGACUAGCAUAUAUCAGCAGAUUCCUUUCGACUUUAGGGCUUGGGAGUCAAUAUUCCCAGUGGCAGUGAUCAUGUCAUGCUUUUCAAGCGAGGUUCAUUUUCAGCAAAAGAUAUGCUGACCAACCUUUUGUGCCAAUGUACUCCACGAAUAUAGGCAGUCUGGUGGCCUGCACUAUAUCUAUGCCUGCCUGCCCGGGGCUUGAACAUCAGUAGCACUGAACUGCCUCUUUGUGGAAGUAAUGUAUUAGCUUUUUGGUCAAAGGUAAGUGGCCUUAUCUUUGUUGAUCUUUGGAUCAUGCUGUGUGGGCUGUCCUGCAUUUAUGCAUCCUGAAGUUCAUACUUUGCUUCCUGUUGUCUUGGUACAUGAUUCUGAGAAGACUUGGGAUUUUGAUGACAUUGACUGAAACAUUCUUAGUUCUUUGAAAUGAUUUUAACUUUUGGGCUCCCUUAUUUGAUUUAUCUGAAAGAAAACACGAGUGCUGUUUUUUUUAUAAUUUUCCUUGUGGGAACAUUGGGUUACACCUGCUACACAAACUGAAUCUUAGAUAAGCUUCUAGAUAAAUAAUGCCUGGUAUCAGCGGUUCUCUCAACGUCACAGGUAGUGCUCCAAUAAAUAACUGCCUACUUACCAUUGACUCAUUUUAACAGAUGUGCAAUGUGAAGUUUAUGGUCAUGACCACUAUUCUAGAAUUGAAAUUUGUAUUUCGAGUUAUCAUCUCAACUACUGUAGUGGUUCGGUGAACCUAGUUCAACUUAGAUUAGAGAUGGCAUCUAACUAUAUAUGUGUAUAUUCUUAUCCAAUCUGGUGUAAGGAGCUCUUUUUGCAAAUUAUUGUUGCCUCUAUAUGCAAAAUUUAUCGGUUAGAUCUUGUGCUCCUAAAAGCUCACGACGAUUACUGCUUGUCGCCAUCGUUGUCUCUAGACAAUACGUAGCAUAACACAUUUGAGUUUUUCUUUUGGCCCUAUUGUAGUAGAGUUGCUCCUUCACUACCUUGUGCCAUUGAGAUAUACUGCCAAUAUUACUGAAGUUCUGAGGUUAAUUAUCAUGUACUUGCCUACCUACUAUUAUAGUAAAAAUGGUUGUUUAUGAUGUACUUUGAAGCAUGUUUGCCUUUAUUGCAUAAAAUAUGUUCAAUGAUCUAUAUAGGAGAACCACCGGUUCUGCAAAUACCGGCGAGAGCUUUGUCUGUUAAAAGCUUGAAGCGUAAAAGUUCUCAAAAUAUUGGUGAACAUAUUGUGGGAAUACAUGAGCUUAAAAAGAUUGUCUUCUGUCUUAGUUCUUCCAAAAUGCAAUUGAGUUUUGACCAUAAAAAUUUGCAUGCACACAUAGAAUUUGAGACUUUUGGGAAUCUUGCACGUAAAAUUUUCAUGGAUACUUACUUGAUAUAUCUGUAGAAGUCAUCUACAAUCAUCUCUAUUAUGGUAGGAGAAAUCACAUAAUGAGGAAAUAUUUCACAAGAUGCAAGGAAUGCAUUGUACAUCAUUAUUGGAAACACAUGGAUGAUUGGGGAAAGAGUUUUCUCAAUGUUAUGAUUGGUGAUUAUGUGGUGAGGCCUGUGAUCUCCUGUAAAUUUUCUUAAACUAUUUCUUUUACUUAUUUUCCACGGGAGACUGGACAAAUUGAACUGACCCUUUCAUAGCCUUGAUCCUGAAGUUUAGUUAGAAAAAUGAAUGUAUUUGGUCAAAAUAGUGCUUAUAGCUUGUCUGAACAACCAAAGCUUCUGCUGAUACUUAGGACAGUAUUAUAGGUUUUCUAGGAAAAGAUAACAGCACUGACCUGGUUCUGCGGUGCCUUCGAUGUCAUGCCAUCCUUGGAGGCUUCAUUUUGGAGAUCCCACCUCACGUUGCUGGUAGUGGCAACAAUGAAACCUACCUAGGUAGUUUGCCAAUUGUGGUUGUGAUAUUAGGUGUCUUCUUCCAUCCCGUGUCUUCUGUUGCAUGGUGAUCUUUUUUUUACAGGAAAUAUUAAUUUUUCAGAUUCAAAGUAUAUCAUCUAACUUUGUUGAACUCGUUGACAAAACAUUACUCUUCUUUGGACUUGUUUAGCAGCUAGAAGCUACAGUUUUCAUAAAUGUUAAUGGAAGCCAGUGAAAUUGUUUUAACCUCCAUAUGUUUGUUAUAGGUAAUUGAUAAGGAUUAUGCUGUCAAGCAUCUUCCACAUGAAGAUCAGACCAUCACACUUUGCCAUCCUAGCAACAUCAAGAAAUGGCAUGCCAGUUUCAAGGUCAACACAGAUGGUACAUGCAUUCUUUCUCUUGGCUCAUCAGACUUUUUUCGUGACAAUGGGUUGCAAGAAGGUGAUAUUUCUAUAUUCGAAGUAUUGAAGAGCCAGACAAGGACCACAGUGGCAGUCCAUCUGCCUAAAAGAUACCGUCUACCAGAAGGAGUUACAUCUUCUGAAAGUUCUGUGUAUGAAGAUACCAAGCCUCAGUAUGCAGUCUCACAUAAAACCCGUUUAGAUAAUCAGCAGAAGAGGAAAGUAGUAAAAAAGGUCAAAGCUAUUCAGUCAGAAACCCCAAUUCUUGUGUUUGUCAAGGGGCUUAGUGGGGAUUACAAGAUGGGCCUGAAAAAAGAUUGGGCUGUAAAGUAUCUCCCACACGAAGAGCAACCACUGACACUUCGACGGCGUAAGAAGGGCGCUGCUCAUACUAAGAGUGGGAAGCUAAACUCCUGAUCAGCAGCGAUGGGUUGUAUCAGCUUGGUGGACGCUGGAAUCAGUUCGUCAAAGACAACAUGCUGCGACAGGGUGACAUCUGCCUGUUUGAACUGCUGAAGGAGAAGUGGCUCACCAUGUAUGUCCAUAUCAUCCGUGAUCCUGCAAAGAAAAUGAAGCGCGGCUGAUCGUUGUGGGCAUGAACCCAGUAAUGUAGUAAUGUUUCUGUGAUGCAAAUUGUCAUUCUUGUGGCUGUUCCUCUCCCAUGCAAGCUUUGGCAAGGAACUUGUGUCUAGCACUAUUAUUCUGAAUUUUCUAUUAAUUUGUGCUACUGCUUGUCGUUCCCUGUCCAUGCUGCCACUACAAGAUUUCCGGAGUGUUCUUUUUUUUCCCCGACUGGUCAACGGUUAUUAACAUUUUUGUUAUUUACAUUAAA